rfam:Homo sapiens chromosome 11, GRCh38 reference primary assembly.
GCCAGGCAUGGUGGCGCAUGCCUGUAGUCCCAGCUACUCAGGAGGCUGAGGUGGAAGAAUCGCUUGAACCCGGGAAGCAGAGGUGCAGUGAGCCGAGAUGCCGCCACUGCACUCCAGCCUGGGUGACACAGCAAGACUCAGUCUCAA